rnacentral:rRNA from 1 species
GGCGGACGGGUGAGUAACGCGUGAGUAACCUGCCUUACACAGGGGAAUAGCCUCGGGAAACUGGGAUUAAUGCCCCAUGACGUAUCCGUGUCGCAUGGCGUGGAUACCAAAGUGAUAGCGGUGUAAGAUGGACUCGCGUCUGAUUAGCUAGUUGGUGGGGUAAAGGCCUACCAAGGCGACGAUCAGUAGCCGGCCUGAGAGGGUGAACGGCCACACUGGAACUGAGACACGGUCCAGACUCCUACGGGAGGCAGCAGUGGGGAAUAUUGCACAAUGGGGGAAACCCUGAUGCAGCGGCGCCGCGUGAGCGAAGAAGGUUUUCGGAUCGUAAAGCUCUGUCCUUGGAGAAGAUAAUGACGGUAUCCAAGGAGGAAGCCCCGGCUAACUACGUGCCAGCAGCCGCGGUAAUACGUAGGGGGCGAGCGUUGUCCGGAAUUACUGGGCGUAAAGGGUACGCAGGCGGUUUCAUAAGUCACGUGUAAAAGGCAUUGGCUCAACCAAUGUAAGCAUUUGAAACUGUGAGACUUGAGUAUAGGAGAGGUAAGUGGAAUUCCUAGUGUAGCGAGAAAUGCGUAGAUAUUAGGAGGAACACCAGUGGCGAAGCGACUUACUGGACUAUAACUGACGCUGAGUACGAAGCGUGGGGAGCAAACAGAUAGAUACCCUGUAGUCCACGCUGUAACGAUGAUGCUAGGUGUCGCAAGAGAUGUCGUGCGGAGUUACGCAUAAGCACUUCGCCUGGGGAGUACGGUCGCAGGACUGAACUCAAGGAAUUGGAGGGACUCGCACAAG